GAUUAGAGUUUGAUCAUGGCUCAGAUUGAACGCUGGCGGUAUGCUUAACACAUGCAAGUCGAACGGAAACGAUACUAGCUUGCUAGUAGGCGUCGAGUGGCGGACGGGUGAGUAACGCGUAGGAAUCUGCCUGAUAGUGGGGGAUAGCCCGGAGAAAUUCGGAUUAAUACCGCAUAAUCUAUUCGUAGUAAAGUGGGGGACUUUCGAGCCUCACGCUAUCAGAUGAGCCUGCGUAAGAUUAGCUUGUUGGUAGGGUAAAAGCCUACCAAGGCGACGAUCUUUAGCUGGUCUGAGAGGAUGAUCAGCCACAUCGGGACUGAGACACGGCCCGAACUCCUACGGGAGGCAGCAGUGGGGAAUAUUGGACAAUGGGGGCAACCCUGAUCCAGCAAUACCGCGUGUGUGAAGAAGGCCUGAGGGUUGUAAAGCACUUUCAAUUGUGAAGAAAAGUUAACGGUUAAUAACCGUUAGCCUUGACGUUAACUUUAGAAGAAGCACCGGCUAACUCCGUGCCAGCAGCCGCGGUAAUACGGAGGGUGCAAGCGUUAAUCGGAAUUACUGGGCGUAAAGCGUGCGUAGGUGGUUUAUUAAGUCAGAUGUGAAAGCCCCGGGCUUAACCUGGGAACUGCAUUUGAAACUGGUAAACUAGAGUAUGGUAGAGGAAAGUGGAAUUUCUGGUGUAGCGGUGAAAUGCGUAGAUAUCAGAAGGAACAUCAAUGGCGAAGGCAGCUUUCUGGACCAAUACUGACACUGAGGUACGAAAGCGUGGGUAGCAAACAGGAUUAGAUACCCUGGUAGUCCACGCCGUAAACGAUGAUAACUAGCCGUUGGGGGGAUUUACCCUUUAGUGGCGAAGCUAACGCGUUAAGUUAUCCGCCUGGGGAGUACGGCCGCAAGGUUAAAACUCAAAGGAAUUGACGGGGACCCGCACAAGCGGUGGAGCAUGUGGUUUAAUUCGAUGCAACGCGAAGAACCUUACCUGGUCUUGACAUCCUGCGAACUUUCUAGAAAUAGAUUGGUGCCUUCGGGAACGCAGUGACAGGUGCUGCAUGGCUGUCGUCAGCUCGUGUCGUGAGAUGUUGGGUUAAGUCCCGUAACGAGCGCAACCCCUAUCCUUAUUUGCCAGCACAUUAUGGUGGGAACUAUAAGGAGACUGCCGGUGAUAAACCGGAGGAAGGCGGGGACGACGUCAAGUCAUCAUGGCCCUUACGACCAGGGCUACACACGUGCUACAAUGGGAAGGACAAAGAGCCGCGAAGCCGCGAGGUGUAGCUAAUCUCAUAAACCUUUUCGUAGUCCGGAUUGGAGUCUGCAACUCGACUCCAUGAAGUCGGAAUCGCUAGUAAUCGUAGAUCAGAAUGCUACGGUGAAUACGUUCCCGGGUCUUGUACACACCGCCCGUCAUACCAUGGGAGUGGGUUGCACCAGAAGUGGCUAGUCUAACUUAGUGAGGACGGUCACCACGGUGUGAUUCAUGACUGGGGUAAAGUCGUAACAAGGUACC
rnacentral:rRNA from 1 species